rnacentral:rRNA from 1 species
UAUUCUGUAGCAAGGUUAACCGAAUAGGGGAGCCGGAGGGAAACCGAGUCUUAAUUGGGCGUUAAGUUGCAGGGUAUAGACCCGAAACCCGGUGAUCUAGCCAUGGGCAGGUUGAAGGUUGGGUAACACUAACUGGAGGACCGAACCGACUAAUGUUGAAAAAUUAGCGGAUGACCUGUGGCUGGGGGUGAAAGGCCAAUCAAACCGGGAGAUAGCUGGUUCUCCCCGAAAGCUAUUUAGGUAGCGCCUCGUGAACUCAUCUCCGGGGGUAGAGCACUGUUUCGGCUAGGGGGCCAUCCCGGCUUACCAACCCGAUGCAAACUGCGAAUACCGGAGAAUGUUAUCACGGGAGACACACGGCGGGUGCUAACGUCCGUCGUGAAGAGGGAAACAACCCAGACCGCCAGCUAAGGUCCCAAAGUCAUGGUUAAGUGGGAAACGAUGUGGGAAGGCCCAGACAGCCAGGAUGUUGGCUUAGAAGCAGCCAUCAUUUAAAGAAAGCGUAAUAGCUCACUGGUCGAGUCGGCCUGCGCGGAAGAUGUAACGGGGCUAAACCAUGCACCGAAGCUGCGGCAGCGACGCUGAUGCGUUGUUGGGUAGGGGAGCGUUCUGUAAGCCUGCGAAGGUGGCCUGUGAGGGUUGCUGGAGGUAUCAGAAGUGCGAAUGCUGACAUAAGUAACGAUAAAGCGGGUGAAAAGCCCGCUCGCCGGAAGACCAAGGGUUCCUGUCCAACGUUAAUCGGGGCAGGGUGAGUCGACCCCUAAGGCGAGGCCGAAAGGCGUAGUCGAUGGGAAACGGGUUAAUAUUCCCGUACUUGGUGUUACUGCGAAGGGGGGACGGAGAAGGCUAUGUUGGCCGGGCGACGGUUGUCCCGGUUUAAGCGUGUAGGUGUGUGUUCCAGGUAAAUCCGGUUCACUUUAACACUGAGGCGUGAUGACGAGGCACUACGGUGCUGAAGCAACAAAUGCCCUGCUUCCAGGAAAAGCCUCUAAGCAUCAGGUAACACGAAAUCGUACCCCAAACCGACACAGGUGGUCAGG